AUUGAACGCUGGCGGCAGGCUUAACACAUGCAAGUCGAGCGGGGGAAGGUAGCUUGCUACCGGACCUAGCGGCGGACGGGCGAGUAAUGCUUAGGAAUCUGCCUAUUAGUGGGGGACAACAUCUCGAAAGGGAUGCUAAUACCGCCUACGUCCUACGGGAGAAAGCAGGGGAUCUUCGGACCUUGCGCUAAUAGAUGAGCCUAAGUCGGAUUAGCUAGUUGGUGGGGUAAAGGCCUACCAAGGCGACGAUCUGUAGCGGGUCUGAGAGGAUGAUCCGCCACACUGGGACUGAGACACGGCCCAGACUCCUACGGGAGGCAGCAGUGGGGAAUAUUGGACAAUGGGGGGAACCCUGAUCCAGCCAUGCCGCGUGUGUGAAGAAGGCCUUAUGGUUGUAAAGCACUUUAAGCGAGGAGGAGGCUACUUUAGUUAAUACCUAGUGAUAGUGGACGUUACUCGCAGAAUAAGCACCGGCUAACUCUGUGCCAGCCGCCGCGGUAA
rnacentral:rRNA from 1 species